GACCUCACGUCAGGCGGGGCUACCCG
rnacentral:rRNA from 1 species